GACGAACGCUGGCGGCGUGCUUAACACAUGCAAGUCGAACGGACAGGCCCUGCUUUUGUGGGUUGCUCGAGUGGCGAACGGGUGAGUAACACGUGAGUAACCUGCCCUUGACUUUGGGAUAACUUCAGGAAACUGGGGCUAAUACCGGAUAUGAGCUCCUGCUGCAUGUUGGGGGUUGGUAAGUUUCGGCGGUUGUGGAUGGACUCGCGGCUUAUCAGCUUGUUGGUGGGGUAGUGGCUUACCAAGGCUUUGACGGGUAGCCGGCCUGAGAGGGUGACCGGCCACAUUGGGACUGAGAUACGGACCAGAAUCCUACGGGAGGCAGCAGUGGGGAGUAUUGCAGAAUGGGCGGAAGCCUGAUGCAGCAACGCCGCGUGCGGGAUGACGGCCUUCGGGUUGUAAACCGAUGUCGCCUGUGACGAAGCGUGAGUGACGGUAAUGGGUAAAGAAGCACCGGCUAACUACGUG
rnacentral:rRNA from 1 species